GUCGACCACUCGCGACUUCGUCGCUCGGGUCGCGUGUUCCCUUCCCCGCGCCCUCCCUCCCCCAUGGUCGACUUGUGGCAAGUCUAGCCUGAAACCAUGUCUAGGAAAUGUGAUGUUUGUGACAAGGUAUUUUCACAGAGAAGCUCUUUAUUAAAACAUAAAAGAACACACAAUGAAGAGAAACCUUAUAAAUGUGAUGUUUGUAACAAAAGAUUUUUACGAUCAGGCCACUUAGCAGUUCAUAAGAGAACACACACUGGAGAGAAACCUUAUGGAUGUGAUGUUUGCAACAAGAGAUUUUCCCACUCAAGCACCUUAGUUACACAUGAAAGAACGCACACUGGAGACAAACCUUAUGAAUGUGAUGUUUGCAACAAGAGAUUUUUGCAGUCAAGCAACUUAGCAGUUCAUAAGAGAACACACACUGGACUGACUGGAGAGAAACCUUAUGAAUGUGAUGUUUGCAACAAAAGAUUUUUGCAGUCUGGCACCUUAGCUACCCAUAAAAGAACACACACUGGAG